rnacentral:lncRNA from 1 species
AGCUUGUCAAACUCAGCCAGCUCCUGUCACUCCUGGGGUGGCUGGAGCUUGGAUGUCGUCACCUCUGAGCAGGGGCAGGGCAGUUUCUCCUUCCAACCUUUCUCUCAGAGCAGAGAGAGCAGUGGAAUGAAGGUCCCACGAGGCCCACCAGCCCCAGGGGCCGCCCGGGGGCGAGGGAUCGAACUUGGGACCUUCUGCUUGUGAGGCAGAUGGUGGAACUGUAAGACCGAGGGCCUUACCAAAUGCUCUGAGGAGCUGACUGUAGUGAAGCACACCCAGGGAUCCCAGCGGUGCCUCCAGAAUGUAAGACCGAGGGCCUUACCAAACGCUCCGAGGAGCUGACUGCAGCGACGAACACCCGGGAAGGAACACACCGGACACGUUGGAAAGUUGGGCAACCACGAAGUUAACCAUUUGAACAAGUCCCCGUCAUCCUCAUUAUAUAUUCUUUGAGCCAGAUCUUCUAAUUGUUUUACCUUUUCUUCGAUCUUUGGACCAUUAUCGGUAAGAUUGAAACAACACAUAUUUUUUACUCUUUCACAACCUUGGUGGUGGAGGAGCAACAAAUAGUCUAUUGCUGUUCUAUUAUCUAAGAUUGCCUGUCUCUGUUCCUGUAACUCUUGGUUAAUUAAUGACAAGGCUGAUGAGCUAGCAUUUAACCCUUUGACCACCUUGCAAGCUAAUUUUCAUACUGCCUUUUCAGCAUGGACUCCUAUAGAAGGCAGGGCAACAAAAGAUGCUAUCAUGGUUAUUACUUCAGCAUCUGUUAACAGACCUACGUCAUCAUCGCAUCCUGGUGCAGUGUAAGGUGACCAACGUUUAGUUCUGUUAGGCACAAUCAAAUCAGUUCUGUCUGGCAACACUACAGCUAGACGACUCAAACAGCAACGGGUCUUGGUUAAAUUUGCUGGAAUAUAAUUAAAGGUUAUCCCUUCACAGGUAUAAAGCCAUCCUGUGGGCAGGGAGAUAUGGCAAUUGUUAUACACAAUUUUUUGUUUUAUAUGGCAGGACAUCCCUUUUGACCAUUUUAUCCGCAGACAUUUGGUUGUGCAAUUUUCAUACAUAGCACAUUCAGUUUUGUUUGACAUAAUUACCUUGGGUGUAUAUAAUUUGACAGCAUUUUUAGGUUUACAGCAGGUGUCAUGCCCCCAAUUUUAACUAUCCAGGUAAGUAAGAUUUUUUUCCUGGGAUGUCUUUAAAUAGGGUAUAGGGUCGUAUUAAUUCUAAAGAGGUGCAUACCGGAAUGAGACAGCUUCCCAGCACAUAAUGGAAAUUUACAUCAACAUUUAAGCAGAAUUCAGACAAGUUAAGCGAGUUUGCCAAUUGAAUCCAUACAUUUUUUUGUGUGAUCUAGUCCUCUUGGGGGCAAUACUGCCAGUGUCCCAGAGAAUAUUAUCAUUAAGGUGAAACAUCUCCAACCCGUUCCAGUCUUAGCUUUUGGUCGCCUGGUUGGCUGAUAACCUUCCAUUUGUCCUUUUUGACAUCCAUGGGGGGUCCUGCUUUCAGAUGGUUGCGAUGUAUCCAGGCAGAAUGUCCAGCCACCUUCACCGCCAAGGGAGCUGACAGGACAGCAGGAACCGGUCCCUUCCAACGAGGUUCCAGGGUCUUGGAAUCAAACCUCCGGAGGUUUUCUGAGGUCUGUGCCUGAGUCUCCUGCUGGAUCCCGCCACAGAGUCUUGGCUGAACGGGGGUCCCUUACCCGGGGAUCUCGCUGGGGCCUCCAAAAUGUAAGACUGAGGGCCUUACCAAACGCUCCGAGGAGCUGACUAUAGUGAAGCACACCCAGGGAUCCCAGCGGUGCCUUCAGAAUGAAAGACCAAGGGCCUUACCAAACGCUCCGAGGAGCUGACUGCAGCGAAGAACACCUGAGAAGGAACACACCGGACACGUUGGAAAGUAAAACAGACCUUUAUUAGUCUGGCCAGACGGCACUCCCAAAGCAAAAUAGCUUAGAGAGGCAGCUAGCUCAGAGUCCGAGGCUGUUUUUAUAGGGGGUUGAGGGGGAGUUAACAUAUAGAAUUAAAGAAAAGGGGACAAAGGUUAGUGGUCGACUGUCACGUAUUGAUGGUCAGCAGACAUUUGCAGCUUGUUCUAAAAAUUGUGGUGCUCGGAACAUCAGUUCCGGGCAAACAAGGAAUUGAGUAGUUUACUUUGGGACUUUAGGUCUGUUACAGAUUUUUAUCUAGUGUCCCAAAACUAACAAGCAUCUUUAUCUCUUAACUCACAUUUAAUCACAAUGGGGCUGGAGAAAAGGAACAAAGGUUAUGCAGUCCCACAGAACCACUGAGCUAAAUCCCCGGCCCUGAAAUGUUUUGAAUACGACCAUGUGUGAUACAUACAAGUAGAUCAGAAUAUUCUAAAAUGAUUCCACAGGUCUCUAGGAUCAUUGACAGUGAGUGAAGAGAAUCUAACAGUAAUAGCAGCAGCUAAUAUUCAUUCAGUGUUUGGUUUGUGCCAAGCACUAGGUCCUGGUUCUGAGUGCUUCCCUGUAAGAUCUCAUGUAACCCUCACCUCAAGGCAAUGAGGUGGGAACAGUUAUGGUACCCUUGUGUAUGUGGGGCCCCUGGACACUUGGAGGUUAAGUGCCUUGCUCCUGGUCACCUGAUGAGUCUGUCUGGCCCCCUAGCCUACGGUCUUUACCUUCCCCUUCGAGGCUCGUUGUCAUUCAGUCUGUAUCCUUUGAUACAUUAUAUAUGGAAACAUAAUAAAAUGACCUAUGUAUACUC